UACGUAGGGUGCGAGCGUUAAUCGGAAUUACUGGGCGUAAAGCGUGCGCAGGCGGUUUUGUAAGCCAGAUGUGAAAUCCCCGGGCUUAACCUGGGAAUGGCAUUUGGGACUGCAGGGCUUGAGUGCGGCAGAGGAGACUGGAAUUCCUGGUGUAGCAGUGAAAUGCGUAGAUAUCAGGAGGAACACCGGUGGCGAAGGCGGGGUCUCUGGGCAGUAACUGACGCUGAGGAGCGAAAAGCAUGGGGGAGCGAACAGG
rnacentral:rRNA from 1 species